AGAGUUUGAUCAUGGCUCAGAACGAACGCUGGCGGCAGGCCUAACACAUGCAAGUCGAACGCCCCGCAAGGGGAGUGGCAGACGGGUGAGUAACGCGUGGGAACGUGCCCUAAGGUACGGAACAACUCCGGGAAACUGGAGCUAAUACCGUAUGUGCCCGAAAGGGGAAAGAUUUAUCGCCUUAGGAUCGGCCCGCGUCUGAUUAGCUAGUUGGUAGGGUAACGGCCUACCAAGGCUACGAUCAGUAGCUGGUCUGAGAGGAUGAUCAGCCACACUGGGACUGAGACACGGCCCAGACUCCUACGGGAGGCAGCAGUGGGGAAUAUUGGACAAUGGGCGCAAGCCUGAUCCAGCCAUGCCGCGUGAGUGAUGAAGGCCCUAGGGUUGUAAAGCUCUUUCGGCGGGGACGAUAAUGACGGUACCCGCAGAAGAAGCCCCGGCUAACUUCGUGCCAGCCGCCGCGGUAAUAC
rnacentral:rRNA from 1 species